UACGAAGGGGGCAAGCGUUGUCCGGAAUCAUUGGGCGUAAAGAGCGUGUAGGCGGCCCGAUAAGUCCGCUGUGAAAGUCCAGGGCUCAACCCUGGGAUGCCGGUGGAUACUGUCGGGCUCGAGUCCGGAAGAGGAGUGUGGAAUUCCUGGUGUAGCGGUGAAAUGCGCAGAUAUCAGGAGGAACACCAAUGGCGAAGGCAGCACUCUGGGACGUGACUGACGCUGAGACGCGAAAGCGUGGGGAGCAAACAGG
rnacentral:rRNA from 1 species